GAACCUCAUUUUCACAGGCUCUUGCGUUCCUUUUGCUGUGGUUUCAUCCAUGUGUGGUCCUAAAAGUGAGAGUGUGUGUUUUUAAUCUCGCACAGCGGUACCGCCCUUCUGCAGGGUUUCCGGCCUGACACGUUCACUUAUGAAGGUGCCAUUUCCCCCGUUGCCAUGUCCUGCUCCGGUUCAUCUGUUCUCACGCCGCUGCACAAGCACAGGGCCUGGAUGUCACCCUACCUGCUUUGACGCUGGCCCCCAGGGCCUCAGAUCCAGUGCGAGGUAGGAGAUCCCGGGCGGGGAGGAAGGACUCUGUGACUCCUGGCCCAGAAGGCAGCACUGGUGACAUCACUGGUGGCUGUGGGUCCCCUUGUCCAAGCCCCAUGGGUGUGCAGAUAGCGGGGGUCGGGGGGGGGCGUUGCAUACGCAAUGGGAGGGGCCCUGAGCUCCGGACCCGACUUUACAGGAGGCGGUGAGCAUGCCUGCCUCCGCUGUGGGGACCUGCCGCCGCUCUCCCUCCAGCCUGUCACUGCGUGGACGUUCUGCAAAGAGUGGGGAUGAGGCUGCGAGUGCCUUUCUUGCAGGACACGCUGAAUGUGGGAGACCGAGGGACACAGGCUCGCACACUCUAAGGUCCUGUCGCUAAUGGGAGAGAAACAGCUCUAAGAAAGUACACACAUUAAGCUUCAUCCAUCCAUUAUAUACGAAAGAAAAUGAAUUUAUCUGCUUUUUACCACUUUUCCAGAUGCCCCCCUGAGGCUGCGCUGGAGGAAGGAAUUCGGUCACAACUCUGGCCAGCUGAGAAGCUGCUCAAAGCCUCCCAGGCCUCCCCGGGAGACAAAUGGGGUCUCUUGGAGGAGGGGCCCACGUGGGGAUGGAGGUCCUUGUCGUCCACAGCCGCAGACCGUGUGCCUCUGGCCUCCAACGCGAGCAAGCUGGGCACCACGAGCAGGCUAGGAGGGAGGCUGGGAAGCUGGCAGGGACACUGUGACAGUGCCCUGUGCUUGCUGUGCCACACAGGGGUCACAGUGGAGUGCAAGGCCCCUGUGCAUGCCCCCACAGCCAUCUGAGGGGGCGGUACAGACCAAGCUUGAGGGCAGACCAGCACUUCUGCUCUCUGAUCCUCCCACUGCAGGGAGCCCUGAGCCCGAGCGGGCGGAGGGAAGAGCUCGGCUCUCUGGGUCUCCUUGGGCACAGCUCGCCCAGCCAGUCCUGGACCACCAGCGAUGCUGUCCCCUCACUGCAGGGGGUUCCUGUUUGCUGCAGCUGAAAGCAUCCUGACUCUACAGCUGCUGCGUCUUUGCACCCAUCUCAGUCUUAAAAUAAAAAGGGAAACCCAGUUUUGCUAAUUCUGGGU
rnacentral:lncRNA from 1 species